GACGAACGCUGGCGGCGUGCUUAACACAUGCAAGUCGAACGGAAAGGCCCUGCUUUUGUUGGGUGCUCGAGUGGCGAAGGCGUGUGUAACACGUGAGUAACCUGUCCUUGUCUUUGGGGUAACUUCAGGAAACUGCGGAUCAUAUCCGAUAGGAGCUCCUGCUGCAUGGUGGGGGUUGGAAAGUUUCGGCGGUUGGGGAUGGACUCGCGGCUUAUCCGCUUGUUGGUGUGGUAGUGGCUUACCAAGGCUUUGACGGGUAGCCGGCCUGAGAGGGUGACCGGCGACAUUGGGACUGAGAUACGGCCCAGACUCCUACGGGAGGCAGCAGUGGGGAAUAUUGCACAAUGGGCGGAAGCCUGAUGCAGCAACGCCGCGUGCGUGAUGACGGCCUUCGGGCUAUAAACCGCUUUCGCAUGUGACGAAGCGUGAGUGACGGUAAUGGGUAAAGAAGCACCGGCUAACUACGUG
rnacentral:rRNA from 1 species